UACGUAGGGACCGAGCGUUGUCCGGAAUGAUUGGGCGUAAAGCGUCCGCAGGUGGCGAUGUAAGUCUGCUGUUAAAGAGUGAGGCUCAACCUCAUAAGAGCAGUGGAAACUACAUAGCUAGAGUGCGGUAGGGGCAGAGGGAAUUCCUGGUGUAGCGGUGAAAUGCGUAGAGAUCAGGAAGAACACCGGUGGCGAAAGCGCUCUGCUAGGCCGCAACUGACACUGAGGGACGAAAGCCAGGGGAGCGAACGGG
rnacentral:rRNA from 1 species